rnacentral:rRNA from 1 species
GUGAGGAAUAUUGGGCAAUGGGCGAAAGCCUGACCCAGCCACGCCGCGUGAGUGAUGAAGGCCUUCGGGUUGUAAAGCUCUGUGGGGAGGGAAGAAAAAGCGCAGGAGUAACUGCCUGUGUGUUGACGGUACCUCCUUAGCAAGCACCGGCUAACUCUGUGCCAGCAGCCGCGGUAAUACAGAGGGUGCAAACGUUGCUCGGAAUUACUGGGCGUAAAGCGCGUGUAGGCUGACAUGCAAGUCGGGUGUGAAAUCCCAGGGCUCAACCUUGGAACUGCACUCGAAACUGCACGUCUUGAGUACUGGAGAGGGAAGCGGAAUUCCGGGUGUAGAGGUGAAAUUCGUAGAUAUCCGGAGGAACACCAGUGGCGAAGGCGGCUUCCUGGACAGUAACUGACGCUGAGACGCGAAAGCGUGGGGAGCAAACAGGAUUAGAAACCCCUGUAGUCC